rnacentral:rRNA from 1 species
CCUACGGGGGGCAGCAGUGGGGAAUAUUGCGCAAUGGGCGAAAGCCUGACGCAGCGACGCCGCGUGAGGGAUGAAGGUCUUCGGAUCGUAAACCUCUGUCAGCAGGGAAGAACGGUCACUGUGCUAAUCAGCAGUGAAUUGACGGUACCUGCAAAGGAAGCACCGGCUAACUCCGUGCCAGCAGCCCUGGUAAUACGGAGGGUGUGAGCGUUAAUCGGAAUUAUUGGGCGUAAAGCGCUCGUAGGCGGUAUGUCAAGUCAAGGGUGAAAGCCCCGCGCUAAACGUGUGAACUGCCUUUGAAACUGGCAAACUGGAGUGUGUGAGAGGAUAGUGGAAUUGCAGGUGUAGGAGUGAAAUCCGUAGAUAUCUGGAGGAACAUCAGUGGCGAAGGCGACUAUCUGGCACAUAACUGACGCUGAGGAGCGAAAGCGUGGGUAGCAAACAGGAUUAGAUACCCGAGUAGUC